GACGAACGCUGGCGGCGUGGAUUAGGCAUGCAAGUCGGACGGUAGGGCUUUAUCGUAAGAUAGAGUUUGAGAGUGGCGAACGGGUGAGUAACACGUAGGAAUCUACCCUUAAGACGGGGACAACCCAGGGAAACUUGGGCUAAUACCGGAUGAGAGUGCGAGAGAUUGCAUUUAAAAGGAUGGCGAAAGUUGUCGCUUAGGGAUGAGCCUGCGGUCUAUUAGUUAGUUGGUGAGGUAAGAGCUCACCAAGGCGAUGAUAGAUAGGCGGCCUUAACGGGUGGUCGCCCACACUGGGAUUGAGAUACGGCCCAGACUCCUACGGGAGGCAGCAGUCGAGAAUAGUCUACAAUGGCCGGAAGGCUGAUAGUGCGACGCCGCGUGAAACGAGGGGAGCCCUUCGGGGUGUAAAGUUCUUUUCUCAGGGAAAAAGGAUGAUGGUACCUGAGGAAUAAGCCCCGGCUAACUACGUG
rnacentral:rRNA from 1 species